rnacentral:lncRNA from 1 species
GUGGGGCCAGAGCUGUAUCUCAGGCCAACCAGAAUAACAGGCCUGCUGUGUCUGAAUAUGGAGGGUUAAGUUUCUCAAUGCAGCCUUUCUCCUCUUUCAGCUUCACCAACAGACUGCUUCGUGAAGAGAUGUGUUUUAAAAUAAUUUAAUAUUGCAUACAGCCCCACUUAUUUCUGCCUCUCAAGAUCUCAUGCCGAACUGGGCACAGAGAGAUUCUCUUUCUUAGCCAGCCUUUGUACUUGUUUCUCAUGUUCCGAAGAGAAAUUAUUGGCUUUUCCCUCAGGGCUGCCACUCAGGAGCAAGGUGCUCUGUGAGCUUCGUCUGAGAGCUAAAGGAUGGAGUUGUUCUUCUGAUUCUUGGUCUUGUUAUUUAAUGAUAAUUACUACUGAGGAAAUGGAGAAAAUUCUUCAAUCUCAGCUUUUAAAGGACUAAAUGGGCACCAGUCGCUCUCACGACCCAAGCCCUCCUGUAGACUUUGCUUUUCUACAGAAUAACCCUUCACUGAAUUCUUCAAGAAGAUUCCAGCAAGUUCUGAAGACUUCAGACUGCUGCCUGAAAUCUAUGUUUACUUUUUGCAUCCUCUCAUGAUUUGGCCCAAAUUCCCCUUAUUUGAUAUGUAUCAUCAUAGUUUAUGGUAUGAGGUAGUAGCUAUUUCCUACUUUUAUUAAAGAUGCAGUUCUCUUUAAUUCUGUUUUUAUUAUUUUUUUCUUUGCUUUUAGUUGGUUUCUGAGAGGGGCCAGGAUUAAAUAACUCUUACUCUAUCAUCUUUAGCUGAAACUAUGUAAAGCAAUCUAAUUUACAGCAGAUUUUAUCUCAUGUAACACUGGUAGAGUAGAUAAAGACGAUGGUGGAUAUGAAGAAUGACUGCCACCGGUGUAUAAAGACAGAAUCCUCUAUAUUGAAGGCAGUAAGUUCUCUGUGAAUGGAGCUGUUGAAACAGAGAGUAAAGAACUUGCUGGGAUCCUUGCAGAGUGGAUUUCAGCUUAGCAGCUUUUAAAAGUUAGGUUACUUAGAAGGUCUCACUUCAGCACUUUAAUUCUGUUAUUUCACAAUUUCUUUUUUGCAAAGCAAUUAGUCACAGGGAUUUUUAAGAUUCCCAAAUGGGUAAUUCGAAGCAGUCUGAUAAGAUGUAUUUUCUCUUUAGUAAUUUUCAGCAGAAAAAAGACUACAUAUCUCUUUUCUAUAAACUGCUUAAUAAUAAAAAAAUAAAACGAUCAAUGAAAAAUAAAGGAACUGGUAUAUUUUUUAAAUUUUAAAAGCUACUUUGAGAUUUAAAGUGAUGUGUAAAUACUGUGCAGACGGCAAUUAUAUAUGUAUAAUAGCCUGUAUUACUUCAUUAGCCUUUUUUUUUUUUUGGAGGAAGAUUAGCCCUGGGCUAACUGCUGCCAAUCCUCCUCUUUUUGCUGAGGAAGACUGGCACUGAGCUAACACCCGUGCCCAUCUCCCUCUGCCUUAUAUGUAGGAUGCCAGCCACAGCAUGGCUUGUCAAGUGGUGCCAUGUCCGCACCCUGGAUCCAAACUGAACGUGUGCACUUAACCACUGUGCCACGGGGCCAGCCCCUUCAUUAGCCUUUUAACCAGCUUUCUUCUUGAACUUUUGAUUAGCAAAACUAAUUUAUGGUACAACAGUAAUUUGCUAUAGAUAUAUUUGAAGACCUUUCUUGGAGUAUUUAAGGACACCAGCUAAACGAAGGCAGAUAGUGAAAGGUUUGGCACCCUGAUCUCAGAGGGAAGGAAAUGGGACAGGACAUACUGUCUCCCAAGCUAUUUUAAGGACUUCUUUAGAAUAUUCUGUGAGUGUUACUCUGUACUUCAGAAUAGCGAGUUGCUGGAACAGCAACAUCAUCAUCAUGAAUUUGCACCUUUGGUGGAUAAUCAUAAGGCUUCAUUUUCCUGAAAGUGAUAAUUCACUUCAGCCUGCUGCACUGAGCGAGAUAACAUUAUUUUCUUGUUCAUGGAAAUAAAAUUCUACAGGUAAUUUACCGAUGUGCUAAUUACCAUUUCCAACGAUGAGCUCAGGAACACUGUGGUUUCUUAAAUUGUUCCUACUCUGAAAAAUGUAUUUAUAUUUGCAAAAAGCCUGAAGCAUAAAAUGAUAUUAGUCUUGUGGAUUGUUGCCAAACAUGGUAGGGAAGGUGCUUAUAAAUUCUUUUGUAAGUGAUCAGCUGUGCUUGAGCAGUAAGCGCCAUAGUGGCUGAUUUAUUUUCGUGUGUGAGUAACAAUGUCUUCAUUACAUCAGGGAGGAAAACAUUUCAGCACUGGUGGAGGCCGAGCAGAUAGGAAGAUACAUGUAUCUCUUUUGACAUAACAGAAAUGUUGAACUACCGAAGAUCUGCAAAGGAAAUGCUGCUCCCGGUGAUUCACAGUCUCAGGAGGUCUUUACUGCGAUGUCUGCUGCCCUCAGUGCUCUCACCUGCGUCGCUUGCUGCCUUCUGGGCAGGUCCUGCUUUUCACUCUCAGUCAUUUCUAAGGCAUUUCUGUUUACUUCCAUUUUUUUAAAGUUUGGCACCUGUUCCCAAUCUUCUUUCUUCUUUUUCUUCUUCUCCCCAAAGCCCCCCAGUACACAGUUGUAUAUUCUAGCUGUGAGUGCCUCUGGUUGUGCUGUGUGGGACACCUCCUCAGCAUGGCCUGACGAGUGGUGUGCAGGUCCACGCCCGGGAUCCUAACCAGUGAAACCCAGAGCCGCUGAAGUGGAGCGCUCGAACUUAACCUCUCAGCCACCAGCCCAGCCCUCUGUUUACUUUCUUGUCUCCUAAUCUGCACAUAAAUGAGUCCAAUUUGCUUCUUCAAAGUUUAUUUCACUCUUCCUCUGUGAAAUCUCCCAAUUUCCCAACUGGCUCUGGCAUCUCAUUUUGUGCCUCACUCAGGGCUCUUAUAAUUAUGGGCCUUAAUCAGGCUUCUGGUGGUUAGAUUUGAAGCAGUAAUUGGUGUGCUUUCUUAUGCCUGUGCUGAGCAGUGGGCUUCUUGACAGUGGGAGCGUCACUCUAUUCUUCGUACGUCUCCUCUCCUUACACCGGCUCUACAGCAUCUUAGCGCUGUGCCUGGCAGACGGUAAAUCUCAGUAAGUGUUUCUUGAUUGAACUGUUGGCUGAAACUUCUUUCUUACCAUCAUCAUCUCCUCCCUUGGACUUGUGGACAUUAUUCUCAUCACUUUAUUUCUAAUUUGCUGUCUGUUCCUUGAUGUGUACUUACUCAAUUUUUGUCUUCUUCAUAUGGAUUUCUACUGUAUCUCUUUUCUAUCUUCAUUUCUACCAAACCAAAGUCCCUUCACACAUUUAUUCCCUCAUCUUCACAAGCCUCCCUGGUUUUGCCGUUCUCGUCCUGAGUAUAGUGUCCAGAAGCGCUCAGCCUGGAGGGCUGCUUUGCUGGGCGUUUCUGUCCUGCCUGCCUGAGGAAUGCUGCCUCUCAGCUAGUUCCACUUUUUCUCUUUUCUUUUCCUACUUGCAAUUGCUGAGAGUUACUUGAGAAAAUGCAUAAUCUACUGACUACCCUUAGUUAGAUGUCAUUUAGAAGAUGCAAAUUUAAUAUCUGUCUCCAAAGCGUUCCUAUCCACUGUUUCCUAUUUCACAAUUAAUGGCAUCAAUAAUUGUUUAUGCCAGAAAACAAUAUCUAAUGUAUAGUUUAUGACCUUAAUUAAAUACACAUACACACACACACAGAAAAGGCAUCAAUAAAUUAAUAAUUUAUAUUUGAGUCUUUGCAUUUUGGGAUAUUAUAUUUCUUAUAUACACUAUACCUUAUUUUUAUAUUUCACAAUAAAUAUGAAUGAGUUCCAUAAUCGCAAAAUUUUCAGAAAAGCUGCAGAAAAACCAGUAAGUUAGAACUAAAUUGGACAUGAUCUAGGUGUAAGGAAGCAAAGGCUUUAGUCUUGACUCUGUCCCUAUCAAUGCAUGUGACGUGAAAUGUCACCAGCUACUACUUGCUUCUGUUUUGGCAGCAUUCAUUCCCCAAGCACCUUUUGGUAUUCCUGUUGUGCUGGCACUAGAUUUUUGGUGCUUGAGCACGAGACCUUGUGUUUGAACUGAUGGUGCUGUGGUCCAGCGGGAGAGACAGGUAUCAUCAACGCCGUAAGGAAAGCAAGAGAAGGACGAAACCAAUGGCGCAGGGGCGGAGAGGGGACUGAGCAGGGGAGGGCCUGGUUAGCCAAAUUCUAGCAAUGUUUCCAGUUACAUGACUCCAAUACCAGCUGUCUCUUCAAUAGUAACAGUUCUUAAAAUACAGUUUUUUUUCAUUGGCUUAGUUAGAACAGGAACAUGCUAAAAAGAAGAAAAAAGAAUAGAGCAUUAAUUAUCUUAUGAUGAAUAUACUGGCCUUCUCAAUAAACCAUAAUACAUAUAUAAAUGUAGAAAGUAAGGUUACUAGUGGGUAUCUUUUCCUUCAAAUGAGCAUGUCUUUAAGCUUGAAGAGUGUUCUUUAACAAAAAAUGGUAUCAAUGUUGCCACUGUUUUGGAGGAUUAUAAAGGUUUUUACGGAAAUCAAAAGUAAGCGAUGGAGCAAAAAUGAUCAUUUCCAACACAAGUCAUAAAAAGCCACGUUAUUUAAAACAGAAUAAAAGGUCUCUAUCUUACAGAAAACAGGGAUCAGCUCUUUUAACAUUUCAAGUCAGAAAAAUGUUUUCAGUAAACUUAAAAGUGAAAGCAGCCAUUGUGGGUAUGUGGAAGACAAGUUUGUAGUUCUUAGAAAUCAUCCCCAACCUGUUCAAAUGUUGAGGCAUUUUUUUGAAGGCAAAAAUUUCACAGACCCAUACCUUAUAAUGGUGUUACAUUUAGAAUCUAUGUAUUGAGAAAAUAGCUAUCUGAAUAUGGAUUUACAGAAUUCUAGCAAUAAUUCUGUUGCUUAAAUACACUACAUACCUUCUAACCUUUGCGUAUUAAAUGUUUAUUUUUCUUUCACUAGCAAUCUUCUGCCUAAUCUUACAGUCAAAUUGUGCCAAUUCUUCCAGGCCGGGUUCAAGUUCUACAUGUCACAUGAAGCGGUCCAGGAACAUUGGCCUCCAGUGCCAUCUGCCUUCUCAGGGCUUCUUUAGAACUGUAGAGCCGGAAGGAAACUUAAAGACCACCACCACAUCCUAUAUGCUUUGCAAGGCAACUGUUUGCCUGUGUUACACCUUCUGAAAACUAGAAAACAGUGCUCCUUUUGGCAGAGGCAGCUAGAGCAUACGGCUUGGCAGGUGGAGCAGGAGCUGAAUUCCAGCCUCCAGCAGUGCCUUGGCUCAGCAUCGUUGUGCAGGGCACAGCCGGCAAGACACGUUUUGUCCUGAUCAUGUCCUGCCUCUUAAUAUUAUCUGACUUUUCCAUGCCAAAUAAUAUAAUGUAAAAGAUUAAUGUAAUUUCUGGAGGGGUAUGAAAACAAUUUCAAAAAAUUCUACAUACCUCUGUGAUAAUUAUAGAAUCCAUAGUAGGUUAUCAAUGAAUACGUAAUAUUCAUAUUAAAGCUCCUAAAAGCAAUGAGAUCAUGUUAUAACAGAAGGGUUAGACAAAAGUUUGAGCACAAAUUAAGUGGAAAUGAAAGAGGCUUAAAUUCAGGAGGCAAGUUAAACAGGUUAUUUAUUGACAAAGUGUUUAUCGAAGGAAAAGAAGACAGUUUGGAAGCGUCGUGGGGAAAUGAGGAACAAUGAGGUUUAGAGAGAAUAGCAUAGUCCAAAGAUAAGGUGAUUGUAGUAUUUCUUCCUUGUAGGAUAGGAGAAAGGAAUGCCUACUGAAACGGAAGGAAGAAACCAGAGUCCAGAAUGUCAAAUUCACAUGCUGGUGAGACUUAAUUUAAAACGGGAAGCAAAACUCUAGUUUGUAAUAGAACAACAACUGAGCACAUCUGUAUCAAUAUAUGUCAUUCGGAGAGGCUUACCUGACAUUUGUGGUGUGCAGAAGCAAUCUUCAGACUACACCAUUCUUUACUAAUUUAUUUGAAUAGAGUAGGUAAACAUCAGAUCUAUAAGAAAUGACUUCAUUUUGUAUUUAUCCUCUAUGAUUUAUGAUUUUUGUAAAUUUAUGAUUCAUAUUGUUAAAGCCGUAGUAUUUCAUUUGCCUAAUUGUUUAAACGCUCACUGCUAAAUGACCAUGCCUGGCAACUUCAUCUGUUUCUGAUAACUCAGGUUAUCAGAAGGCAAAUUUAGAAAACAUCUCUCACAGUUGACCCCCGCACAUCUGAAGCUUUUAAGAACAGUGUACAAUAUAGAAUGGAUUUGUCAGCACAAAUAGGAAAGAAUAUCUCAGAAACAAAUAGAGUUUUAGAUUUCCAAAUAGAUUAUGAAGUAGUGUCAUCAUUAAUUGCAAAUGUAAGAAAGAUCCAUAUAGUAACUGAAGAAUGAGUUCCUAUUAGCUGGUAACUUGGAUUGAGACACACGUUUAACAAAAUAUUAUAUAAAGUCUAUCAGCUGAAAAUUACCAAUAUUGUUGAAAGAAAUGAAAGACCUAAAUAAGAGGAGUGACAUACUGUGUCCACGGGUUGGAAGAUGCAACAUAGUAAAGAUGUCUGUUCUUGCCAAAUUUGUUCGUAUGUGUAAAGAAAUUUCAAUCAAAAUUUUCAUUGACAUAGACAAGCUUAUUCUGAAAUUUAUAUCAAAAGGCUCAGGUCAUGGAAUAGCUAAAACAAUCUUGACAAAGGAGAAGAAAACUCAAGGAAUCACUCUGCCCAAUAUUAAGGCUUACUCUGUAACUACAGUAAUCAAUAGAGUUGCUAUUGGUGAAGAGAUAGACACAUAGAUCAUUGGAACAGAAUGGAGAACACAAAAAUAGACACACAUAUAUUCAACCAAUUUUUUAAAAAUUUAUUUUAUUGAGGUCACAUUUUUAACAUUAUGAAUUUCAGGUUACAUCACAUAUUUCUACUUCUGUGUAGAUUGCAUCGUUUGUGUUCACCACCAAAAGUCUAAUUUUCAUCCACUACCAUACGCAUGUGCCCCUUCACCCCUUUCGCCUUUCCUCUACCCCCUUCCCCUCUGGUAACCACCAAUCUCUGUAUCUAUAUGUUUGUUCGUUUGUUUGUCUUCCACAUACAGAUGAAGUCAUACCGUAAUUUGUCUUCUCUGUCUGACUUAUUUCACUUAGCAUAAUAUCCUCAAGGUCCAUCCAUGUUAUUGCAAAUGGCACAAUUGCAUCUUUUUUUAUGGCUGAGUAGUAGUCCAAUGUAUAUAAAAAUCACAUCUUCUUUAUCCAUUCAUCUGCUGAUGGGCACUGAUUUUUCACAGAGGUGCAAAAGCAAUUCAAUGGGGGAAGGACAACAGGUUGAAGAAAUAGAGCUGGAGCAAUUGAAUAUUCAUAGGCAAAAAACCAAACUUCUACUUAAAUCUCACAUCUUAUACACAAAAACUCCUCAAAAUGGAUUCUAGACUUAAAUGUAAAAUUAUAAAAAUUUUAGGAAAACAUAGUGAUCAAAAUAUCCAGGCAGUGUUCUGAGACUUGACAAAAAAAAAAAAAAAAGCAUAAUCUAUAAAAGGAAAAACUGGUAAAUUAGACUUCAUCAAACUGAAAUAAAACAGUAAAAAAAUUUUGCCUCUUAGAAUGCUGAUUAUUCCUCUUUUUUAUUAGUAGGACCGCCUAGACCUAUCUGUGUGUGAAGUUACUAAAAAUGUUAUUUUUAUCAAUUAAAAGCUCAUCUUUAAGAUUUUUUUGGUAAGAUUUCAAAAUAGCUCAACAUGCAAAAGAUAAAAUAAUUUGCAACAGCUGUUAAUUGGAGGAAUUUUUUGCAAACUUUGUUAUCUGUAGACAGAUAAGAUUGUUAAUUUUCGCCAUUAACAGAUGCUUUGGCUAAUGAUUUCUACAGUCGUGUACGUAGUCAUUGUAUGAAAUGUGCUCAAACGUCUAUUUGAUUAUUUUAGUUUAUCUUAAUAAUCUGCUAGAAAUUGUGUAGCUAGUUUUCUGAAAAGUCUGCAACUAACCAUAUGAGCUACUAUUUCAAAUAAGGUUGCAUUUUUAGGAGACGGUGUAUAACAUAUAACUUUCUGUAAUAGCACUCAGGGUUUCAAGCCAUUUAACGUCUGACUGAAAGGAUGAGAAAACGCAUAGGAAACACUCUCAUGAAUUUGUAACCCCUGUCUUAUUAGGGGAAUCUAAUUUUACCUACACAACCACAAAGUGCAGUAUGUUAAAAUGCUCUUGCUUAGUCCUGAUAUAGUGUUGGUAUUCUGGUUCAAUUUUAUAGUCCUCGGAGAUGGUUGAUUAAUCCAGAAUACUGUGCAAAAAAUAUGACAGCACAAUAGUCUUAAAACAAUAGAACAAAUAUUGUCUAAUUUUUUUCUCAUAUUACUUUCCUUUUAGUUGGGAAUGUCUUUAAAAGCUUCUACACUGAGAAUAAAAGUCUGUAUAAAACUGAUGCUGUUUCUCACACCCCAUUAAACUACCCCUUUUAUCUUUGAAACUGAUGUGACAGCAAAAUAUUUAUACUACAUUGACUCCAUUUUUUAAAUUGCUUUUUGAAUAGAAAAACAAAUAUGUUUGAGACUCAAGAAGUGGCCAAAUACAUCUAAUUUAUUUUGCAAGGAUCAUUAAAGCCUUGCAUCUCUGUUGUAUUGUAACUGGCUAGCAUUACAGUGACAAUCUAGAACAUUUUAGAGCAUUUUUAGUAGUUGAAAAAUACUACUUUGUCCAGAUUAAGAAGAAAAAUUUGACUUGCAUCAAGGGCAAAAUCCAUAGGAAAUCUGAAAACAAAAUUUCUUUUCCCUUACUCAUAUGAUUUAAAGGUUAAUUCUAAGCUUGGAAAUCAUGAAUAUGCAGUCAAUAAUAAUCACCUCCUCCAAACAUCUUAGUAUGCACACCUAAUGGCCACUGCCAGGAGCUGUGGAACAUCUUUAAUUUUCAAUUCUUCUUAGCAUGAAUAUCAAUGAAAUAAUAAAUUAUAAAAGGCCAAUAGAAAGCAACUUAAUAGAUUUUAAAGAGUCAAAUGUCAUCAUCAGUCAAAGGAAAACUAAAGGUAUAUUGUUUUAUUCUCAAGAUCAUAAUAUGCAAUGCUUACUUAUGUUAGACUAACUAUAAUAUCAAGUACAAUUUAGUCGAGAAAAUGAAUCAUUUUAAAAUUCUCCUGGGGCCUUAAUUUUGCUUCUAGCCUUAGUAACCCCUCUAGCUUGGAGACCUCCAUCAGAAAGAGAAGAGGCACUACGUAAAGAGUUCUCUAAAGUCCUGGCCAAUAAGGAGAUGGCUUGCUCCACGAUGGAAAUCAAUGCACUGCUCCCUUCACCGAGGAAGUCUUGCCCCUUCCCCACACACAUGAUGUCAGCCGAAUUAAACAGUGUACUUAGUGACAGAGUUGAUUUAUAUUCUGGCUCCAGCUCUUUCUUUAGUAUCAAUCGGUUAAAGGAUAAUUUGCAGACAGCAGCCAGUCUGGGGUCCAUACGUUGAUAGCUUUGCUACUAUGGCUUAUUGACCACAAAUCAGCGGGCUAUAAAACAUCCAAGAAGCAACUAAUGCGCCCUCGGCUGGAGGCACGGAGAAGUUUCAUUAUUACUUUUUGGGUAAAUUGGCAGUGUGUGAAGUCUGAUAGCACCACAAGUCCAAUGGUUGACAGACUUCACUUAUGGGACCUGGUGCAAACCUUGUUUGGGGCUUAGAUCUGCACUCACUGCUGUGGGAAUUUCAUGGAAGCGAAGUGGGGCUUAUCUGGUUGGUCCAUUUAAAGACACCAAGCUAUGUGCUACCUAUGGAGUAUAACAAUUAUGCCAGAAAGUGUCUCGCUAGUAUAUGUGGACAACAUGCUGACAUCUUCUAUGAGAGAAACACUUCAUUUUUAAGUAAACAACAACUAAAUUCUUCUUCUUGUUAUUGGUAGUUUUCAGUCUGGCCCAGUAGGGCAGAAGGUACCUAAGUAUAGGAUAGUUAAUGAACACACAGGCCACAGAAUCAGAUACUGGCAAGUUAUUUUACUUUUCCACUUCACUUGUGUGUGAAUUUUAAUAUAAAUGUAUGAAAAUAAAGAACUAAGGCAAGUCAAAAUGUUUCAGUAAACAAGUUCAAGAAAUUCCAUGUUAUAACAAGCAUAAAUGAACUUAUUAAAUUGUUCUGUACAACGCCAGAUUUUGGAUGUCUUAAAACCAAGAAACUUCUUAUUGGUGGCAACUAAAUGGCUUUUUAGACUUUUUAUCAUGUAGGACAUUCCAUCUAUUAAAUAUACGUUUCUAGUUGAGUUCUCAUACACGUAAGUACAUAUUUGUAAUGUUGGUUCUCUGUGCUAUUCCUGUAAAUAGUCUAUCAAAAUAAAUUAACUCUUCAUAAAAAUUGGGCUCUUUGAAGAUGGAAGAUGGGAGUUUUGUUCCCUGCCUUGUGGAGUCACAGGAUCCCACAUCUCAGGUUCCUCAUUGGUAAAACAAGAGGAGGGGUCUAUUUGCCUCCAAGCCUCUCCACUGACCAAUACUGUGUCUGUCUGGUCUACUGUGCCAGGUACUGGGGAUGGGAAGGUAAGAUUAGGGGGAAAAAACCCCAAAACAUUAUAUUCUGUGAAUCUUUCCCAGUCUCUAACAUAGUAUAACAUCAUAUUUGUUAAUGAAUCUCCGUUAAACUGCACCACGUAUCCUAUGAAAUUAAUUAAAAAUAUUUCCAAAGACUCAUUACUUUUCCACUUUAAUGAAAGUGUCCAGUGAAAGGGAUACCGUUUACAGAGGGCGGAGACGGAGAGGAACGACUUGCUGCUAAAAAAUCCAUUAAAUCGUCACGUUCUUCUUCUGCACAGUCAUUCAACGGAUGUGCUCUGGAAUCUGACAGAUUUGACUCAAAAUCUCUUUUUCUGUUGUCUGCCCUUGGGGGAAGUUCUGCAGCCUCUCAGGGCCUUGGUUUCCUCGUCUAGGAGCAGGGCUUACAGCAUGCCUGAGGCGAGUCCAGGGCGGAAGAAGUGAGACUAUGUUUUGGAAAGCCUUUGGAUUGAAAAUGCACGGCAAGCCCGUGGAAAAUUUCAGGGUUUGUUGACAUCGUAACAGUCAAGGUUCCUUCUCUUUGUCCCAAUUGGAUCUGUCCUUAUUCGCUUUCUUUGGCUUGGUCUCCGCAGCUCUGGUCUCUAUUUCAAUCCACUCCUACACCGACACUAGGGUUAUGAAUAUGAUUAUAUCACACCUCUUCUUAAAACGUCAGUGCUUUUCACAACAUGCUCAAACCUGUCCCCCUAAACUGACUUUCUGAGGCCCCUCCCAGGUCCUCACAGGCCUUACACUCCAGCGGCCCUUGAGUCGGCACCGGGCCGUCUUGUGAACGUCACCCUUCCUGCACCUCCUCAGUUUUGCCUAUUUGCUCCCAUUUUCCUCUUUGCCUGCAUCUUGUCUUUUUCCUUCUCAAAAGAAUCAUCCACUGCAAUGCAGUGAAGUACUUUAGUAUAGUACCUCGUACACUGUCAGAGUUGUUGGAAUUAAUGUGUCUGACGACCUGUUUGAGUUUACAUUUCUGAGGACAGAACAAGUACUACCACGUUCACAGUGAACACGCAGGGCUUGGUAAUUUGGAGAUAUUUUGAAAAUUGUGUGAUGAGAAAGUACAAUAUUAUCUACAUCUCAAAAGCUCUAGAAAAGAAUUCUAAAUUUCACCCCAAAAACAGCUAGUAAUUAUUGAACAAGGUGCAUAGAUGGUGUUGACCUACUAACUGAAUUUCUACCAAACAUUACAGUCUUUCUGUCUGGGAGGAAAGGGAAUUAGGUCUUUGCUGUUCAACGCCUUCCUCGUUCAUUUAGAAGUGUGCAUUCACUUAGAAGUGAGUCCACAGUUAAUAUCUUUUUGAUCACUUCUCCAAAAUGUAUGAGUCUAUGAAAUAAUUUGUCUCACCUCUAUUUCCCCAUUCCUCAGGAAAGCAAGCUGUUUUUCAGUUAGAGGAACUUUUGGAAUCAGUUCUUAUGCUCCUAAUACAUUCCAGAUGUCCUUAUGUUUGUGAUUGACAUUAAGUGAUAUAUAUUUCUUCAAAUUACCCACUGCCAUAAACAAAGUCAAAAAUCCAUCUUGAUAUUGACUGGAGAGUACAUAUUUCCCAAAUAUUCAAAGUGAUAGUGAUGGAGGGAGUGAAGCAAAGGUCCGAAGGAGCAGAGCUUCUCUGUGAAUCGCAGGCCAGGAGAGCCAAGCGGAGAGGCGAGAAGCUGGCCACACCUCGUGUGCAGACCUCUGACCCGGGGCCCCGUAGGCCUGCCGCAGAAACCGGGUGUCUCACCUUCCUGUGACUCACAGGCUUUUCUGAGCAGCUCACCAACUUUCAGUGUUGCCGUGACAACCCCUGUGUUCAUCCUCAGGUGUACACUGGCAUCGCAUCUUGCCAACUGAGGGGACCACGUGAUCCCUCGGGGUAACUACUUAAAUUAUCACCUUUUAAAACGGUGACAAUUACAAAAUUUUCACUUGACUGUGUAUUAAAAGUAUCAGCAGCUCUGGGCAGAAGCAAAGCGAUAAUUUUUGUAAUUAUCUGUCCACAAAGUAACAAGCAAUGCAUUCCAAGUAGGAGCUAUUAAAUUCUUCGUGGUGGGUAACAAAAAAAUAAAAACUCUUCUGUUUUAAUUUCAGAAUUUCACUUUAAAUGUACGUGUGGCUCCUAAUGUAGUUGAAUGAAAGAGUGAGAGGGGCUGUGGGAUGGCUUCUGUGACGGACGUCAUCUUAGGAGAGAAGAAGAAAGAGUUUUCCCAAACUGGAAUCUUGGAAUUCAGGUUAAAAGAUUAGUUGGAAAGGAAGGAAAAACACUGUAGGACGUUUUCUUUUUCAGUUUUAAAUGGUGAUCAUGCUCAUGCUUUAGUUAUCUCCCUCCACUUCUCUGCACAGAAAAGCGAGGGAUACAAACUUGCAGAGAUGAAGUCAUGCUCUCUUACUUUUUCAUGAUACCAGAGAUUCCAAAGACAGAUAUAUCUAAUUUGCAAUGUUCAAAGGAAAAAAACUAGAUAUUGGAGAUGAUUAUAUAUUUUUACAAAAGUGAUCCUUAU